GCAUGCUGACUUGAGGCUGGCACGCUAAAAGGAAUGAUCCCUAUGCUAGGGGGCGACCCAUAGGUCGACCCCUGCUGAGCCAUAGGCCCAUAUAGAGAGACCAUUUCUUUGUUGUCUAUAGGGGAUGAUCCCUGUGCCAGGGGAUGACCCAUGGCAUAAGGUCUCCUGAAGCACUGACAUCUAUAACAGCUAAUUUUUUAGCCUAUUUUUGACAUAUUAAAUACCCAUUAAUCAGUCUUUAAUUGCUUAAAAUGGCUAUUAGAGGUUCUCCAGUAUUG
rnacentral:lncRNA from 1 species